GACGGAGGAUGCAAGCGUUAUCCGGAAUGAUUGGGUGUAAAGCGUCCGCAGGUGGCAGUUCAAGUCUGCUGUCAAAGACCGGGGCUUAACUUCGGAAAGGCAGUGGAAACUGAACAGCUAGAGUAUGGUAGGGGCAGAGGGAAUUCCUGGUGUAGCGGUGAAAUGCGUAGAGAUCAGGAAGAACAUCGGUGGCGAAGGCGCUCUGCUGGACCAUAACUGACACUCAGGGACGAAAGCUAGGGGAGCGAAUGGG
rnacentral:rRNA from 1 species